UUGAACGCUGGCGGCAGGCCUAACACAUGCAAGUCGAGCGGAUGAGUGGAGCUUGCUCCAUGAUUCAGCGGCGGACGGGUGAGUAAUGCCUAGGAAUCUGCCUGGUAGUGGGGGACAACGUUUCGAAAGGAACGCUAAUACCGCAUACGUCCUACGGGAGAAAGCAGGGGACCUUCGGGCCUUGCGCUAUCAGAUGAGCCUAGGUCGGAUUAGCUAGUUGGUGAGGUAAUGGCUCACCAAGGCGACGAUCCGUAACUGGUCUGAGAGGAUGAUCAGUCACACUGGAACUGAGACACGGUCCAGACUCCUACGGGAGGCAGCAGUGGGGAAUAUUGGACAAUGGGCGAAAGCCUGAUCCAGCCAUGCCGCGUGUGUGAAGAAGGUCUUCGGAUUGUAAAGCACUUUAAGUUGGGAGGAAGGGUAGUAACCUAAUACGUUGCUACUUUGACGUUACCGACAGAAUAAGCACCGGCUAACUUCGUG
rnacentral:rRNA from 1 species